AUCUAUCUGUAGGGAAUGAACCAGGGGAAGCUUCGAAGUGAUAUUCAAUUUGGUUUAAAAAACCUCUAAAUUCCUUAGAAUCACCUCCAAAAUGAGGGGGAGGUGAACGGUUUAAGGGACGGUGGUUUGUGUGCCACAGGUGCUACUACAGGUGGUGGAGGUGCCUCUAGAUAGGCAGUUCUCUGGAGCAAGGUCUGGAAUGCAUGGGCAAACUGAUCUAACCUGUGGUCCAUAUCCUCCACCCUACUCUCACAGGCA